UUACAAAACAGUAGUUUAAUUUUAUAAUGAAAAUAUAAUGUUUUUAUUUAAACUAUAUAAAUAGAAAU
rnacentral:tRNA from 1 species